rnacentral:lncRNA from 1 species
CUGAGUUUUGUUUAUGGUGUGUGCCAGGCUAACAUGGUAUUUUGGACCAAUCCCCUUGCUGAGGACAACCAAAAAGAUUGGAUGAAGUAUAAAAAGCACUUACUUGAAAGCAUCAAAGACGUCCAAGAUAGUGAGGAAGUUUAAAGUCAAGAUCUAGGAAAAGACAAGAAACUAGAGAAAGAAACCCAGCCGUAAAAUCACUUUUUUUCCCCCCUGCGGGCUUCUGCCAAGUCUGGGGAAGCAGCUGCAAAGCUAAACUAUAUUUUUUGAUGAUUCCUCAGAGCCGGACAAACAGAAGUCAGAAACUAAAACCUGCCAGGAAUAGGGAUUCAGGAGUAGGGAUUUAAUAACUCAAGCCCCCUUCGAGCUGAGAAUCUGAAAGGCCACACUCUCAAUAUGAGGAGUAGCUGCUAGGAAACCAGCCCUGGCACAGAAUUGUAGUCAGUUUUGCAUCAUUUAACAGUACAAGUAAACUUCAACUCUGACAUUAUAUUAAGAUAUUUCUGGAAUGAUAACACACACUGCUAUUUGCAGCAGCAAAUGAAUAUCCUCUCAAGAGAAAGACAUCAUCAUAACAGGCCUCAGCACUUCCUCCAUAUGACUUAUAAAAUAUAAUUUCCAUCAUACAAUGAAAAAUAAGGGUUUACAAGGCAACAAGAUCACUGAAUGAGUAACAGAAGACAGAGAAGCUACAAAAAAAGCCUCCAAAACAUGAAUUAUUGAAAUGAUCAGAUAUGGUUCACAAAAUAACGAUGCUUUUUACAUUUAUGAAAUAAAUUCCAAGCUUAAAAACAUCCGUGAAAAGGAAACUCUAAAAUUUAAUGUGACAUAUUAAGAAAAAAAUCCAAAAAUAUAAUACUCAAAAUUAAGAUGGGCUUAAGAGCAAAUGAAAUGUAGCUAACAUUUUUAAAUGGAAGACAAGAAGAAAACAUCCUCCAGAAUGCAGCACACAGAAAUAAAAGGGAAGAAUUGGAAAAGAGUGGAUAAGAGGCAUAAGUGGUCAGUGACAAGUUGUAGCCCAGAAAGUGUGAAGGGAAUGGGACAGAUAUAAAAUUGGAAGAAAUAACAGCUCUGAAUUUUUCAAAAGUAAAAACGAUAUCAAUCUACAACUUUAAGAAUCUCCAUAUAUCCUAAGCAAAAUAAAUUAUAAGAAACUCACACCCAGACAUUGCAGCAAAACUUCAGACAACAAUAGACAGAGACAAAAAUCUUAAAGCAUCAGAAAAGAAGCAGUUACUUUCAAAGGAAGAACAGUUAGACUGAGAACUGACUUCUCAAUAGUAACAAAGGAAGCCAGCGAGCAAUGGAAGGGUUUUCAAUUAACACUGAAGUUUGAUAAGGCAAAAAACAAAAACAAAAACAAAAAAACAUGUUGUUACUUGUAGUUAAAUUACUUUAAAAAAUUGAAAAAUUACAACU